rnacentral:rRNA from 1 species
UACGUAGGGGUCGAGCGUUGUCCGGAGUUACUGGGCGUAAAGCGCAUGCAGGCGGCUCAUUACGCACGGCGUGAAAGCCCCCGGCUUAACCGGGGAGGGUCGUCGUGUACGGGUGAGCUUGAGGGUAUCAGGGGUUGGUAGAAUUCCCGGUGUAGUGGUGAAAUGCGUAGAUAUCGGGAGGAAUACCUGUGGCGAAGGCGGCCAGCUGGGAUACACCUGACGCUGAGAUGCGAAGGCGUGGGGAGCGAAC